GUACUCCCAUCCUGCUGCACAAGAACAGAAUCAUCAAAGAAGGCUACAACACAUUUAGUUUUUUUUUUUUUUUGUUUAUUUGCUAAUGGAAAUAAGAUUAUAUUGGACAUUCAGGUGCAAGAAAGACUGACUUUAAAGGUAUGGGAUGAUUUUGGGAAUAUUAUUAAAUAUUAAAAGUGUGUUCUCUAACAACUUAAGCUUUUGAAUGAGAUGAUCAGGUACGUCAAUAUUUCCAUUAUGCACCAUAGCUCCAUCUUAUGGAACAAUUUUAGCUGUGAAAGAUGUUUCUAGGAGGACGUCUCAAUAAUAUAUGUCUAAUGUUAUCAAUUUCUGAAUAACUUUAGGUAUGUGGUGCCUAAAUUAUAUAUGACUAAAGUUUAGCUUUACUUAAGUUAAGCAAAAAUGAUUCAGUUUAUUCAUAUGAUUCAAAUUCAGACGAAAAUGAAUGUACUCAAUAAUAUGCAACUUCAACUUUGAAAUUUGCAUUCUAAAAUUAUUCUAAAUGAACAAAUUUAUAAUUUUUUAAGUGUUAUGAAUAUAACUUAAAUGAUAAUACUAAAAUUGGGAAUCAUAGCAUAUGGAGAUGAAUGCAAUGUGCAUCCAUAAAUGUGUUUAGAUAUGAGUUGCCUUAAUUUAUAUGUCAACUAUGGCUGUUAUUGGCAUGUCUAUGCAUUUGUUUGCUGAUACCUGAUACUACUAUUUUCUAAUGAGUAUUAGCAAUUUUGUUAUAGUUACUUAAAACAGGAUAUAGGUUUGUUGAGAAAAAGAACCUUACGAAAGGAUAUUGAAGAUUUGCCUCCCCAAGAGAAGCAGAUUUUAUUGCAGUGCUUAAGAAGGAAAAUCUUCCAAUUCAUGUUUCUGAAAGUGACGAUGCAUCCAGUAUUUGGUUUAGCAAGUACGAAGAGCUUUUUCCACAAUUGUCAAGAGUUCCCAGGAGGUACCUAAGAAAGAGAGAAUCCAUUUUUGCCAAAAAGCAGUCUCUGAGAAAAAGAAAGAAACCACUUUAGCCCAAAAAAAGGUGCUCCAGUUCCACCCCUCGCUGCAUCUCCAAUCGCCCCCAACCGUUCAGUCUCCUGCUUCCUCUCCCUCUCCAGGUCCUAAAGCAGUUCCCACCCUCGCUCCAUCUCCAGCUGCUUCAACUGUAUCACUAGUUUAUGCUCCUCUAGCUGUGCACCUCCUUCUCCAGUUCUAAAACCUCUUGGAAAGCCUCCAAAACUUUGAACUCGUACCAAUUCCUGUGAACCUUUGCCUGUUAUCCUCUAGAUAAACCACAAAAUUGUCCUAAUUCUCCAGGAAAUAAUCAGGAGCAUCAAAAUUAUUUAAUUUCUGCAGUGGCUGGAUGUUCUGUUGCAGGAAUUGCCCUUUUUACCUCUGUUGAUAUUCCGUAGUUAAGAAUAAAAGGAAAGAAAUAGCUCCAAAUGAUGGGCAGAGGGAUGGGAAACCGUCUCUGAAUUUGAAUGCAGAGCGAGAACGAACCUCCUGCAAGUAUUCUGCAAUGGUUUUAGAAGUCUUAUUGGUAUUUUGCAAUCGAUCUUGCUAGCAAAGAUGCGAGUAUGACUUUUGUUGGCAUAAGCUGUGUGAAGGAAUUUCCACACUUUGUUAGCAGAUGGUGCUGCAGCAACAAUUGGAGCAAUAUUAGGAUCGACCGACGCCAUCAUUGCUUGUUGGAUCAUUAAUCUUAAGAGAACCAAAUCUAAUAAUUGGGAUUUGGUACAGUAUGAUUGUUUUGGGUACUAGUAGGUGAUGGAGCUGUUGUGGUUCCAUCAAGAUGUCCUGUGAGUUGUAGUAGCAUCACAAGUUGUGCUUUCCAUGUUGAAAAAUUGAGUUACCUUGUAGCUUGAGAGGUAACUGAGCAAAGGGAUUUAAUUGCACCACAUGAGUAGCGGCAGAAACUGCAGAACUGCUGGCAGCAAUAGCAUCAAUAACUGGAGCCAUAGAUGAGAAAGCUUUAAAAGAAUGAGAUGGAUCUAACUCGGUGGAGCUUAUGUUGCUCUGAUACCAUAUGAAGAUUCAGAUGAGAAGGUCAAAAAGAUUCAGCUUGAUGUCAAUAAUGUUUUCCUACACGGAAAACUGGAUGAAGAAACCCCGAGGCUUUAUUAAUCCCCAAUUUCCAACUCAUGUACGCAAACCGGAGAAGGCUAUCUAUGGACUCGAACAAGACCCCCGAGCUUGGUAUAAUUCUCUGCAUGAACAUCUGCUGAAAAUGCACUUUGUCAGAACAGAAUCAGACACCUCUUUAUUUGUAUGGAAGCAUCUGGUUGUAACCAUUUAUGUGCUUAUCUACGUUGAUGACAUCAUAAUCACUGGAAAUCCUCCACAAGCGACUAAAUUCGUCAUCAAUUCCUUGCAAAAAGAUUUUCAUUGAAGGAUAUUGGAUAUCUAAACUACUACUUGGGUGUUGAUGUUAAGUAAGUACCAUAUGGCCUCAUUCUUUCUCAAUCACACAUACUGGAAGUUCUUUCUGAACUGGACAUGGAUAAUUGUAAAGGUGUUUCCACUCCCAUGUGUUCCAGUGUACCACUUUGAGUAGCUGAUGGCUCGCCACCUACGGAUGCUACGCGCUAUAGGUGCACCCUUGGAAAAUUGCAGUAUUUGUCCCUCACUCAGCCCGAUAUAUAUUAUUUUGCCAAUAAAUUGUGCAGAAAUGUUACUAUUUCAUUAAAAAGAAAGUAGACUUUUAACAUUC